rnacentral:rRNA from 1 species
UACGUAGGGGGCAAGCGUUGUCCGGAAUCAUUGGGCGUAAAGAGCGCGUAGGCGGCCCUGUAAGUCCGCUGUGAAAGUCAAGGGCUCAACCCUUGAAUGCCGGUGGAUACUGCAGGGCUAGAGUCCGGAAGAGGCGAGUGGAAUUCCUGGUGUAGCGGUGAAAUGCGCAGAUAUCAGGAGGAACACCGGUGGCGAAGGCGGUUCUCUGGGCCUUACCUGACGCUGAGGAGCGAAAGCGUGGGGAGCGAACAGG